rnacentral:rRNA from 1 species
GUGAGGUCUCCGGAUUGGCUUUGGGGAGCCGGCGACGGCACCCUAUCGCUGAGAAGCUGAUCAAACUUGGUCAUUUAGAGGAAGUAAAAGUCGUAACAAGGUUUCCGUAGGUGAACCUGCGGAAGGAUCAUUAUUGAAAUUAGUGGGGAGGGUUGUAGCUGGCCUUCCGGGGCAUGUGCACACCCAAGCCUUUAAUCCACAUACACCUGUGAACUUAGUGUGAGGGUCCGCAAAAAAGGCCCUCAUGUCUUAUCAUCAACCCCAUUGUAUGUCUCACAGAAUGCAAUAUAUAUCUUCGCCCUAAAAAGCGUUGGUAAACCUAUACAACUUUCAACAACGGAUCUCUUGGCUCUCGCAUCGAUGAAGAACGCAGCGAAAUGCGAUAAGUAAUGUGAAUUGCAGAUUUUCAGUGAAUCAUCGAAUCUUUGAACGCACCUUGCGCCCCUUGGUAUUCCGAGGGGCAUGCCUGUUUGAGUGUCAUUAAAUCCUCAACUCCGAUCGAUUUGUUUCGACCCCGGGGCUUGGACUUGGAGUGUGCUGGCGUCUGGUCGGCUCCUCUCAAAUGCAUCAGCGGAAUUGAACCUUUGGGGUUUCCGGACAUCAGUGUGAUAAUCAAUGUUGUGCUGUUGUCUGACCUCAAAAGUCCGCUCACAAUCGUCCCUUCGUGGACAAAGCUCAUCAAAUUUGACCUCAAAUCAGGUAGGACUACCCGCUGAACUUAAGCAUAUCAAUAAGCGGAGGAAAAGAAACUAACAAGGAUUCCCCUAGUAACUGCGAGUGAAGCGGGAAAAGCUCAAAUUUAAAAUCUGGUGGUCUCCGGCCAUCCGAGUUGUAAUCUGGAGAAGCGUUUAUCCGCGUUGGACCGUGUACAAGUCUUCUGGAANGGAGCGU